rnacentral:rRNA from 1 species
GCUAGUUUGGCGUCUCCAAGCUAUGAUGGAGACGCGGCGCACAGCUCAGUAACACGUGGCCAACCUGCCCUUAGGACAAGUAUAACCCCGGGAAACUGGGGAUAAUCCUUGAUAGGUGAGGAAUUCUGGAAUGAGUCUUCGCUUAAAGGACGUGCAGAUCACGCUUCUGUGCGUUGCCUAAGGAUGGGGCCGCGGCCGAUCAGGUUGUUGGUGAGGUAAUGGCUCACCAAGCCUAUAACCGGUACGGGCCGUGAAAGCGGAAGCCCGGAGAUGGGCACUGGGACAAGGGCCCAGGCCCUACGGGGCGCAGCAGUCGCGAAAACUCCGCAAUACGCGAAAGCGUGACGGGGCUAUCCCGAGUGCUAUUCGAUAAGAGUAGCUUUUCCUCAGUGUAAAGUGCUGGGGGAAUAAGGAGGGGGCAAGACUGGUGUCAGCCGCCGCGGUAAUACCAGCUCUCCGAGUGCUAAGGACGUUUAUUGGGCCUAAAGCAUCCGUAGCUUGCUGAGUAUGUCCUCCGUUAAAUCCAACGAUUUAAUCGUUGGGCUGCGGGGGAUACUGCUUAGCUAGGAGGCGGGAGAGGCCGACGGUAUUUCCGGGGUAGGGGUGAAAUCCUAUAAUCCCGGGACGACCACCAGUGGCGAAGGCUGUCGGCUAGAACGCGCUCGACGGUGAGGGAUGAAAGCUGGGGGAGCAAACCGGAUUAGAUACCCGGGUAGUCCCAGCUGUAAACGAUGCAGGCUAGGUGUUGGUGUGGCUACGAGCCGCUCCAGUG